UCAACCAAAAAGGUUUAGCCUUCCAUGUGGAGGCAAAACAAAAGAAUUACAAGAAAAAAAGAAACUAAGAAAACCCUAUGAAACUCCCUCCUUUCUCCUUGAUGCUUGUGUCCUUUUAUAGGCCUUUAUGCUCCAGGGAUCUUGGAAAAAUAUUGUAGUCUAGAUUUUGUUAACAAUUUCAAAGUUUUUGACUUUUCAGAAUUCUUGUAUUUUGCAGAAGAUUUGCUUCCAAUUCUGUUUCUGAGAUAUUGUAGCUUUUAUUUUCUCUUUCUUCUCCUCAAAAUUUGUUUUCUGUUUUGAUUAAAAAAGCAACUUUGACUUUUGCAUAUUUGGCCCAUUCACUAAGGUAGACACUUCUUUCAGACCAUUUACUCUAAAAACACAAAAUUAACAAAAAUAAUAGUUAAAGCCCAAAUAAACUCAAUUAUAUGAAUAUUAAUUAAAAAAAUUUAUUUAUUUAUUAUUAUAGUUCAAUAAUCCAUGAUUAAAGCUAUUGAGUGUGAAUAAAUAUAUGCUCAUCAAUGAUAUACUUGAGAAUUGACUCAACAUCUAUGUCACUUGAACAAUAAGCCACAACUUGAACUAUAUAACAUGUCACUUGGACAACCAACACAUUUCUUAAGUGAUAUAAGACAAUAAGUGUAAUGAUUACAUCACUUAGGUCUCUCUUGAGUGUCAAGUGACCGUAAAGCAACCCCAAAGGGCUCAAACAAAGGAUAUUCUCAAAGAUUUCCAAAUUGUAUGUGGAUUCUUACCAUCCCAUGUCCAUCAAAGAGUUAUUUUAAGACUUAUAUCCAACAAUGUAUCAUCACAACAACUCUACAACUCUUCUAACAUGCAUAUAUUUUACAUAAUAUCAACCUCCAUGCAUUACAUACAACUAACAACUAUCAUAUUGUAAAAAAUUGACAUAAUAACUCCCCUUGUCUAGAUUGAAGUAUGCUCUCAUAACAACCAAUACUUGAUCAUUUUUCCUAAGACUCUAAUGAAUCUAGAGAAGUUCUCAAAACAUCAUUUUAUAUGAGCAAACAUUUCCUCUAAAUCAUUCAUACAAGUAAAGAAGAAGAGAAGAAAAAAAGAGAAGACAAAAAGAUAAGAAAACUCAUAUAUGAUUGAGGUUACUUACCAAGACUAACUUCUCAUCAAUCCAAAACAAUUAGUACCUUACUAACUCCACAAAACCUCAAUCUAGUAAAGAAUCUAUAAUUAAAAACUCACUUAUAUCUGUCGAAAAUGACAACUUUUACCAUAGCCGUUGUUUUAUAUCUUUCAAAAGGGUCUAAAGUGGUGGCUUUUACCAUAGCCGUUGUUUUAUAUCUCUCAAGAGGGUCUAAAACAACGCCUUUUUACCAUAACUGACAAUUUAUAUCUUUCAGGAGGGUUUAAAACAACGAAUAUUUACCAUAAUUGCCAUUUUAUAUCUUUUAUGAGGGUCUAAAAUGAUGAAUUUUACCAUAACUGCCAUUUUAGACUGAAUAUAACACGACAAUUAUAUAGUCGUAGUUUUUGCUUGAAGAAAAUAGACUACACGUUGAAAGACAGCGGUUCAAAAACUGUUGUUUUAAUGCUAAAAUGACUGUUGUGAUUUAGCUUUUUCUGUUGUCUUUGCUUAAAGAGAAUACACUAUCUUUGCUUGAAGAGAAUAAAUUACAUGCUAAAAGACAACAUUCCAAGAACCGUUGUUUUAAUUCUAAAAUGACCAUCGUGAUUUAGCUUUUCUGGACCAGUGAUGGUAAACUUUCUUUUUAGAGUGAUGGUGAUAAACAUCUAUCGAUUUGAAAUUGAAAGAGUUAGAAAGUAAGAAAAAAAACAUGAUAAAAAUAUUAAAUAAUAUCAUAGAAAUAAAAAUGGAAGAGAAAUGUAAAUAAAUUUAAAUAAAAAUUAGAUGUGAGAGUAAGUUAGUUUAUAUUGAUUUGUUUAGCGAUUUAAUAAUUGAAAAAGUCAAAUAAAAAAGAGUAAAUUAUAGUAAUAUUUGCUAAUAAUGUAAUUAGACCCAUGUUUGUUUUUUUUCUAUGCUAUACUUUAACUUAUAAUAAUCCUUUCCAUUAUUAUAAACUUUUUUAAAAUUACAUAACUUUUUUAAAAUUAUGCACUAAUAAUAGGCAUGGUCAUAAUAUUUUGUUAAUAUUUAUCUUAAUAUAUAGAUACACACACAUAAACAUUAUUCUAAUUGCAAUUGUAUCCUUAUUUAAUUGUAUAAUUUAAGUAUUAUAUAAUAUUAUGUUAACAUGUGAGAUUGAAUCUGUUUUAUAUGUUGUUACGUGUGGAUUAUUAGGAUGAUAAAAAAAUAUAAAAAGAGUAAACUGCAUGAUGUUAUUAUUUUGGAAAACUUUUCUUUUAACACUCGAAACAAAAAACAAACACUUAACAGCUCUUUUUAAUAAUAUAAUAAUAUUUUAAAUAAAAAAUAAAAUAAAAAUAUAAAAAUAUUAAUUUAUUAGAAUGUUAGGUGUAUGUAUUUAGUAUAGAUUCUUUUAAUAAUAUAAUAAUAUUUUAAAUUAAAAAAUAAAGUAAAAAUGGUUAAAAUAUGAACAUUAUUAGCAGCAAAGAACAGUGAAUAUAAGUGUUUUACUGUGACAGUGAAGGUGGAGUUUGGAGUCUAGAGGUUGUUGAGGACGAUGUUGGCGAGAUUCAAACCUUCACAUGUGGUGUCAUCAUCAGAGAUCUUGGAAGAAAAAGACCAAGAGAACCCUGAGGUGGCAGAGAACCCAACGCUCACCCACUCCGGAAGAAGGCUCUCGAGCUCCACUCUCUGAGAGACGAUGUAGUUCGUUGGCUGAGAAGGGUAAACCAGAGAAGCCACCAAGAGCUUCGUGGAGGACUCAUAGGUGAUCUGAACCUCCGCGUUUUCUCCGUUGACCAAUUCCCACGGCGUCGUUUUCAUAGACUCGAUGGAGUUCACGUCGAUGCCAAUAUGACGGCCUUCGGGGUCCCACUCCUGGUUGACGAAGGUGUCGAACUCCACAGCCACAGUAUGGGCUUUGCUGUUGUAUUUGUCGCUGUCGAAAAGACCUAGAAAACCGCCUUGCUUUGUUGGGAACGAGAGCAAAGCCAAGGCCAUCGGCGGCUUUUGCUUUGUUGGGAGCGUGGAUAUUGAAUUUGAAGUUUGUGGUGAAGCUGGCGACUUUUCCGGUGGCGCUGUCUUAGAUUUGGAUGGGGGCGGAGUAGAAGGCGCGGCCCAGAGAGGCCACCGUGGGUUCUCCGUUGCUAUUAACAUUGGUUAGUCGUAACUGGCCGGAGGAUGAGACGGAGGCAUCGCCUUGGAGGAUAAGGUUGGUUUCGUUGAACCUAUCGAAGCUGAAGGAGGUUUCGCUGGCUGAGUUUGCGUGGCUGAGAAGCACAAGGAAGAGGCUAGGUUGAGUAAGUUGGAGGAAGCCAUGUAUGCAUUCAUGCAUUAACCAUCACUCUCUUCUCUAUUUAUACAACAACAAAUGCAAAAUCUUUCCAACUUUUUUAUUUCAUUCUAUUAUUAAAUACGUGUUUUCGAAUGAUUAACUUUUUUCUUUUAUAAUAUUAUUUGAGAGAGAAAUAAGAAUAUUAAAAUAAGAAUUAAGCAACGAUUGAUUUUACAACGAUUCAACGUUUUGCUACGAUUCUUAAUUACAAUGUGUCGAUAACUCUUUUUAAGUAUUUGGGUAUGCUGGUAGGGGGUGUCAUUGGAGAGGUGCUUUUUGAGCGGACAAAAAUUCCAAAAAUCCACCAUUUAUUAUUAAUCUUUUUUAUUAUUUAGGUAUUUUUCAGGUAUUUUAAGGUUUUAGUUCUCACAGUUACCCUAAUUAGAAAAUUCUAAUUUUUUUUUCAUGAUUUUUUAGUUAUAAAUUAGUGAUAUAUCAAAACCCUAUAAAUUAGUGAUAAUUCAUAUUUUUCGUGAAGGGAAUGCGUGUGCUAAUAAGUUGGCUAAUUUAGGAUUUAUUCAUAGAGAAUCAUUUCAUUGGUAUAAUAGACUCCCAGCUAGUCUGUUCUUAGAAUUCUUUAUGAAUAGGUAUAAUCUACCUAUUUAUCGUUUUUGUUAACAUAUGGGUUUUGGUCUAGUCCCGUCAUAUUUUUGUAUUUUCUUUCUUUUUUCUUUUUUUUUAAUAAUAUUUUUUUUAUGUGAUGACAAAUGAUUGUUGUUACUUGAGGUGUCAGCUUAGCUGAGAUGUCAAGUUGCAUAGUGAUGCCUAACACGAAAACUUUAUAUAAAAAAAAACCCUAUGGACAUAUAUAUGUCAGAUUUGUUAGAAUUUGCAUAUGGAGAUCAUUGUAAGAGCAUGACUGGAAGCAAAUAAUAAUAUUUAACUUAUUCUUUAUAAUUUUUUAACACUAAUUAAUGUGAAUCCUUUUUCCCGCCAUAGAAUAUGUGAGAAAUGGGCCACGUAUUUCCUUAAUUUCUAUAACUCUAAGAUAAAUAAUCAAUAAUAUAGGAAUUAGAUAGAUAGAUAGGAAUAUAUAUGUUAUUAGUGUUUGUAAUACAUCUUUAUCAAUGUAUAUAAUUUGAUUAUCUGAAUAUAUGUAUCAGGGCUAACUUAGUUUUAAUUGUACAAGUCAAUUUAGAUAGGAUUAACAUUAAACAGAAUGAACUAAACAAAAAAUUCUCAUUUAAAAUGGCGGCUUUUACCAUAACUGCCAUUUUAUAUCUUUCAAGAAGGUAUAAAUGACGACUUUUUAUCAUAACCGUCAUUUUAUAUCUUUAAGGAGGAUCUAAAACGGUGACUUUUUACCAUAACUGUUGUUUUAUAUCUUUUAAAAAGGUCUAAAACGACGACUUUUACCAUAAUUGCUGUUUUAGACUGAAUAUAACACAACGAUUAUAUAAUCUCUGUCUUUGCUUGAAAAGAAUAGACUAUAUGUUGAAAGACAACGCUACAAGAACCGUUGUUUUAAUACUAAAAUGAUCGUCGUGAUUUAAUUUUUUUCAUCAGUAAUUGUAAAGUUUCUUUUUAGAGUGUUGAUAAACAUAUAUCGAUUUGAAAUGAAUAGAGUUAGAAAGUAAAAAAAAAAUACAAGAAAAAUGUUAAAUAAUGUCAUAGAAAUAGAAAUGGAAGAGAAGUGUAAAGAAAUUUAAAUAAAAAUUAGAUGUGAGAGUAAGUUAGUUUAUAAAUUGAUUUGUUUAAUGAUUUAAUAACUGUAAAAAUCAAAUAAAAGUAAAUUAUAGUAAUAUGUACUAAGAUUUAAUGUAAUUACACCCAUGUUUCCUUUUUUUUUCUCUGUUAUACUUUAACUUAUAAUAAUCCUUUCCAUUAUUAUAAACUUUUUUAAAAUUACAUAUUUUUCAAAUUAUGCACUAAUAAUAUAAUAAUACACAUGCUGAAUAAUACGCAGUGUAAAUAUAUGAGCUCCUAUUUUAUUUAUGCUCCCAUUUGUGACAGAUGAAGAUUAUUAGCAGGAAAGAAGAGUGAGAGUGAGUAUAAGCAGGGUUUUACUGUCACAGUGAAGGUGGUUUUUGGAAUCUAGAGGAUCUUGUUGAGGAGGAUGUUGGCGAGAUUCGAAUCUUCAGAUGUGGUGUGACAGGAGAACUUGGAAGAAAAAGACCAAGAGAGCAGGUCGUGCGUUUCACUGGACACGUUAGAUGACCCUGAGGUGGAAGAGAACCCAACGCUCAC
rnacentral:lncRNA from 1 species